rnacentral:rRNA from 1 species
UACUACGGAGAGUUUGAUCCUGGCUCAGGAUGAACGCUAGCGGCAGGCCUAAUACAUGCAAGUCGAACGGCAGUAGAACCAGCAAUGGGACUAUGAGAGUGGCGAACGGGUG